rnacentral:lncRNA from 1 species
AUGCCCUGGGGACUUCGGUAUGUUAUUGCAAAAAAAACAUUAUUGCUAUUUGAACCCUGCUUUCAUGCCUCCAUUUCCCAGAAAAUGAGCCACGGAGACACCAGGAGAGGCAGGAGACCAUCCUCCUUGCACAAAACCCAUUCCCUUGGAUGCUGUCCUCAGCGAGGGUGGCUGAGGGCCAACCAGGGGGCCCACCCGCAGAGUGGCAGAGGAGGUCCAUGGCGGCUGCCAGGGCCAGCUGGUAGUACCCGGCUGCAUCAAACGGGUCCUGAAGGGGACAGGCCAUGCUCAGCAAAAGGGGGACUCGGAGCCCGUCUUCCCAGAGGCCGUUCCUGUCUCCAGGUCAUUCCACAUGUCCAGCCAAUGCUGGCUCACCCCAUGAGCCCCGAAGCCUGUGACACUGCUGUGGUCUCAGCUGCAGGAGGUGGGGAUGACCCUGACACCCCUGGAAGCCUUCCUGAGUGUCCCUACGCCCACUCACCCCAAGCCUCCUGCCCCGUGCCACCCUCUCUGAGGCAGUGGCUGCUUUCCCCAUGGGCUGAGGUCAGGGCAGAUCCUGCCUGCUCUGACAGUUCCAUGCAGGACUCGUGGCUCCAAGCCACAGCAGGGGCACAGCGUUGAGUGACCCAGGCUCCCCUCUGGCCCCUGUCCAUACUGACCAUUUCCAGGCCCUCCACGGGACAGGCCAGGUACAAAACCAUCUCACAGGUGUCCUCCCUGGCAAUGAUCCCUGAAAUAUUGAUGGAGUGUGACUCCCCAGACAUCCACUCCUGUUUUCAAUGCAUCUUUGGCUCAAACUCACCAUCCCUGGGUUGGGAUGCCGUCUCCCAGACCUCCUCCUUGACCCUCCCAUCCCCCACCCGGCACCUCUUCCACAUGGGGGUCACCCAAGGAACCUCUCUAAGACCCAUGCCUGGCCUGUUCCUCUUUGCCAUCUCAAGAUGGCUCCCAGGGCCAAUGAGAAAGUCCAAGAUGCAGCAGUCCAUUCCCUCACUGCCCCGCCCCACACACAGAGCAGGGGCGUGAGAAGGUCCCGAGUCACCGCCACUGCUCAUCCAAUGGCCCCGCCCAGCCGAACACUGGACUCUGUGCUGGGUGUGUGGCUGAGCCUAACGUCCUUGAUCCCAGUCUGAGGGACCUGGGAGUGAACACUGACCACACAGGGUGGCCCGGGCUGUGGCAGAGGGAAGCCCAGGAGACCCCAGACUCAGCCAGGGAUGGAAGGCAAAGGCUUCCUGAAGGGGUGGGGGCUUCCCAACUAAACAGGAAGGAGCCAGCCAAAGCAUAUGUCUCUGCGUGUGCUUGUGUGUGUGCCUGUGCGUGUUUGUGUGCCUGUGUGUGUGCACGUGUCUGUGUGUGGGCGCCUGUGUGUGCAUGUGCAUUUGCGUGUGCAUUUCCAUGUGCCUGUAGUGUGUGAAGCAGCUAAUGAGCAGCAGGCUGAGCCAGGACACAUCUAAUCCACCCUAUUCCAGGGCUCACUCUCACGUGUAGACUAAAGGGGACCCCAUUUUAGAGGCAAUCGGCAAAGAUGCCCAUUUACCUCUGCUUCUCUGCCAGCCUUCCAGGCCCCAUCCAGCCCGGCUUUUUCUCCCACUCCUCUGGGUCCUGGGUCCAGGGUCUCCUAUACAAGGAGGAGGGUGUAGCCUUGGAAAGACAGCCGCCCUUGGGGAAUUCUGAGGGGGCCUCCCUGUGGGAAGCUGGCCUGCGCUGACAGCAUAGUCACGAUGAGGCCCAGAGGGCUGUGCAUGGGAAGGAGGUGAAGGAGGCCUCUGCCCCUCGACCCCAACCGUGGACUUUGGCCUUUCAGGUACUACUUGGCCCUUUCCUUUCUCCUGGACAGGGGGAGUGGGCGGCAGGCUUGACCAAGUGAGAUAAAGGCCUCUUCUGGGAGGUCGGUCCCUUGGGUCCCAGGAGAGACCCUGGCAGUGAGCAGUGUCCCUCUGGGUCUGACACUUGGCACCUCCCUGUCUGGCUGGGACUUGGGAGGCCACAGGGACCACUUCUGAUCACCAGGUGUCGCCAGCACUGGGCAAGGGCCUCCCGGGCAGCCCCAAGCCUGUGGUGGGGGAUACGGGGCAGGGUCUUAGGGCUGCCCCAGCUCCUCAUGUUGUUCUAAGGCCCCCAAGAUUUUGGCCCCUGGACUGGAGUGCCCUGGCCUCUCAGCCCCUAAGGAGCACUGACGAGGUGCCAGUGCGAUGCUGAGGAGGGGUCGUGCCUGCUGGGCAGAGGGGUGGAGACACCCCAGGUCUGAGUCUGCCAGUCCCAGCUCUCUACCCCUGCAGGGCUGGGGGCAGAGGGAGCACAACACCUCCCCUCAAGACAGACCCGACCCAGCAAGGUCUCAGCCUGGCUGGCUGGGCCCCCGCCCCACUACACCUGCCCUAAGCUGGGGUUUCCCUGUCUGUGAACCCAAUGGUAAGACACUGGGGUCCCACCCAACCCUUCCUGGGUGGUGUGAAGAUUCAAGGUGUCUCGGGACUCCAGGAAGGAGUUACUCAGUGCAGGCUGGCACCCUGGGCAGGCUUCCUAGAGGAGGCGCCAGGAUUUGGGUUGGAUCUUGCAACGUGGAUUCAGUGUGAGGAUGAUGCCGUCCUCUGAAAUGUCCUUCUCCCGACCCUGUUUUCUUUGUUAAAUGCAACUUGACACUUGACUGUCAAGACUCAGUUUGGUGUCACCUCCUCCAGGAGGGCCCCUGACUACAAUCCUCCUUCUUUACCCAGAGGCCACCAUUGCCCACUCAUGUGUCAGCCUCCCUGGCUGAGACUGAGUUCUUGAGGGUGGGGCCUGGCCAUCUUGGGAGCUUGGUUGUAUCUGCUAACCUUGCCGGCUCCUCCAGCUGGGUGCAGAGCUCCAGGGAGGCCACUGGGCCAUUCCUAAGGAAGGCUGGAACCCAGGCCUCUGGGGUGUGGGUGGAGAUCCCACUCCAAGGGGUCUGGGAACACCCCGUGCCCUACCCCUGCCACCCACCUUCAGGUCAUAGAAGAUGAUGUCACCGAGCACCAGAUACAUGUUCACGUAAUAGACGGUCUCCUCGUCGAACUCCAGCAGCGAGUUGCAGAGCUACAGGGCCUUGAGGUAUAAGUGCUCCACCAGCUUGCCAUGGCCCAGCCGGUGGUGCAGGGCGGCCAGCCGUGGUAGGCCAUGCGCUCGUUCACUGGUCCCCUGGGUGCAGGCCAAAGGUGCAGGUGUGAGGACGUGGCUCCCUGGGGCAGGGAGGGCUCAGGCCCCUCAGGAGCAGGUAUGCAGACCCCGGGCUGCAUGCCUGGCUUGCCUCCAGGCACCUGUGGUCACCUGGGCAGCUCUGGCCAGUCCCUUCCAGGUUCCCAGACUCACUUUCCCAUGUGCAAGCAGAACUAAUAAGGCCUGCCCUGUCUACUGUGAGGCUUUGGAAAGUCGGACUUGGAUGGCCCAGUUCUGUGUCUACACAGAGCCACCUGCCUUUGCUCACUGGUUUUAACCAGGAGAACCCAAAAGCCAUGCAGUCCAGGUGCUCCUGGGCUC